UUAACACAUGCAAGUCGAGCGGGCAUAGCAAUAUGUCAGCGGCAGACGGGUGAGUAACGCGUGGGAACGUACCUUUUGGUUCGGAACAACACAGGGAAACUUGUGCUAAUACCGGAUAAGCCCUUACGGGGAAAGAUUUAUCGCCGAAAGAUCGGCCCGCGUCUGAUUAGCUAGUUGGUGGGGUAAUGGCCCACCAAGGCGACGAUCAGUAGCUGGUCUGAGAGGAUGAUCAGCCACAUUGGGACUGAGACACGGCCCAA
rnacentral:rRNA from 1 species